rnacentral:tRNA from 2 species
CGGGGCGUGGCGCAGCUUGGUAGCGCGCUUGAAUGGGGUUCAAGAGGUCGCUGGUUCGAAUCCAGUCGCCCCGACCA